rnacentral:rRNA from 1 species
GACGAACCGAGCGAACGUUAUUCGGAAUCACUGGGCUUAAAGGGCGCGUAGGCGGGCCGUCAAGUCGAGGGUGAAAUCCCCCAGCUCAACUGGGGAAGUGCCUCCGAUACUGGCGGCCUCGAGGGGGAUAGGGGCAUGCGGAACUUCCGGUGGAGCGGUGAAAUGCGUAGAUAUCGGAAGGAACACCGGUGGCGAAAGCGGCGUGCUGGACUCCCUUCUGACGCUGAGGCGCGAAAGCCAGGGGAGCGAACGGG